AUUGAACGCUGGCGGCAGGCCUAACACAUGCAAGUCGAGCGGAGCGGCGGACGGGUGCGUAAGGCCUAGGAAUCUGCCUGUUUGUGGGGGAUAUGGUCCGGUACGGGGAACUAAUACCGCCUACUCUCACAUGAGGCUAGGUCGGAUUGGCGAGUGGGUGGGGUAAAGGCUUACCAAGACGACGAUCCGUAACUGGUCUGAGAGGAUGAUCAGUCACAGUGGGACUGAGACACGGUCCAGAAUCCGCCGUGAGGCAUAAGUGUGGAAUAUUGCACAAUGGGCGCAAGCCUGAUGCAGCCCUGCCGAGUGUGUGAAGAAGGUCUUCGUGUUGUAAAGCACGUUCAGUUGGGAGGCGUUACCCACAGAAUAAGCACCGGCUAACUUCGUGCCAGCAGCCGCGGUAAUAC
rnacentral:rRNA from 1 species